rnacentral:rRNA from 1 species
GAGUGGCGAAUGGGUGCGUAACACGUAGGUGACCUGCCCGGAAGUGGGGAAUAACAGUUCGAAAGGACUGCUAAUACCGCAUGCGGUGCGCGGUUCGAGACCCGCGUUCCAAAGGUGCUCGCAAGAGUGCCGCUUUCGGAGGGGCCUGCGGCCCAUCAGCUAGUUGGUAGGGUAACGGCCUACCAAGGCAACGACGGGUAGGGGACCUGAGAGGGUGACCCCCCACACUGGCACUGACACACGGGCCAGACUCCUACGGGAGGCAGCAGUCGGGAAUAUUGCCCAAUGGACGAAAGUCUGAGGCAGCAACGCCGCGUGCGCGAUGAAGGCCUUCGGGUCGUAAAGCGCUUUUCGGGUGGAUGAGAGCGGACAGUACACCCGGAAUCAGGUACGGCUAACUACGUGCCAGCAGCCGCGGUAAAACGUAGGUACCGAGCGUUAUCCGGAUUUACUGGGCGUAAAGCGCGUUCAGGCGGUACGGCAAGUCGGGCAUGAAAUCUCUCGGCUCAACCGGGAGAGGUUGUCCGAUACUGUCGAACUCGAGGGCAGUAGAGGGUGGUGGAAUUCCGGGUGUAGUGGUGAAAUGCGUAGAGAUCCGGAGGAACACCAGUGGCGAAAGCGGCCACCUGGACUGCACC